rnacentral:rRNA from 1 species
UACGUAGGGGGCAAGCGUUGUCCGGAAUCAUUGGGCGUAAAGCGCGUGUAGGCGGUUCGAUAAGUCUGCUGUGAAAGUCCAGGGCUCAACCCUGGGAUGCCGGUGGAUACUGUCGAGCUAGAGUACGGAAGAGGCGAGUGGAAUUCCCGGUGUAGCGGUGAAAUGCGCAGAUAUCAGGAGGAACACCGAUGGCGAAGGCAGGUCUCUGGGCUGUAACUGACGCUGAGGAGCGAAAGCAUGGGGAGCGAACAGG